UCUUUUGUAAAUUGAUUUUAUUUCCUCUAUUUCAAAGACUUGUAGAGCCCUUCUCAUGGUAUAUUGAGUUGCAUUGUACUCCCGUGAUUCCUCACUCCCAACCCUGAUGUUAGUUUAUGAUUGGGUCGGAGUCGAGUGAGUGGUAGUCUUGAUCAUACUCCUUUUUAGUAGAGUAUUGGGAGGGUGCAUUAUGGCAUUCAUGCAUAGCUUGGCAGUAUCUGCAGGACACCUAUAGUCGAUGGGGUUAAACAUCGGCCUUUGUGCACAUAGUAGCCUUCUGGGUGGGCGGAGCCCAGUCCCUUCCUAGGGGGGACACGGCCCUAGGCGUAGGAUCGGCCGGUCCUACGACUUAUAUUCUACUUGCCGCCGGGCAUAGUAAGACCCCGCGAGGUGCAGUAUGGCUUUCCGCGGAUGUAGAAUUCCCGCGAGGUGCCGUUUAGUAUGUAGAUGUGAGAUGGAUUUCUGUUCUGGAUACUGGCCAGCAUUUACAUGAUCAGUGUGGUGUAUUAUCCUGCAUAUGCAUGUGACAGUAGGAAGUUGUUGCUGGUUCUCCUGGGGCGUAAAACCCACCUCCCGAUAGCUGUCUAGCAUUUAUAUUAUCGGUAUGGUGUCUUAUCCUGCAUAUGCAUGUGACAGUAGGGAGUUGUUGN
rnacentral:lncRNA from 1 species